GGGCUGGGGCUUUGACAUUCCUUCAAAUGGCUCUUCAUGUUUUUUGAUUUUCCUCAGCUUCGGCCGGGUCCUGCCCAUUGACACCGAGAACUGAUUGGCUGCGAUGUUCAAAGCUGUUCUGUUACUGACAGCCAGAGAAAUGCCAUUGAAUGGAGCCUCGGAUGGACAACACUUUCAGGGGGGCCGGACUUCCCCGAAGUGGGGCGGUUUACAGCCAGGAGAACUGGCACAAGCUGGAGUUGCACGUACAGAGUAUUUCUGAAAGAAAACCUGACCCACUGCAUCUGCCAUGAAUCGAUUGCCCAGAGAAAUGAACCCAACAUGGAGAUUUCGAAGGAGCGCAGCUGAGUCUUGCAGUGCCUGAGGAGACCACAGCCUCCCUCUGAGGGGACCCAGCAAAGCCUCUCUUCAAGGGACCCUUCACAGCCUCUCUCCAAUGGCAAACAUGAAACCAGCCCUUGCAGCCUCUCAUUGGCCCAGCAGUAGAUUGGCACAGACCAGCCAUCAGUAGGUAGCGGCUUGUCGCAGCUGGACAUGGCAUCUGCAUCACCCCCUGAGCUCACAUUUGGGCCAGUCCCGUGGCCAGACCCACUGGGGAAAAGAGUGACCCAUGGCACCAGCAGGGCUGUAAUAGCCCACUGAAGCCUCAAGCCUGGUAGACAGGUAGGCCCGAUGGGGCCCUGAUCUAGGUUGCCGCAUGUCUGUGCAGCGCCUGGCACCACGGGGCUCUCAUCUUGGUCGUCACAUGUCUGUGCAGCACCUGGCCUGACGGGGCCCUGAUCUAAGUCUCUGUGCGUCUGUGCAGCGCCCAGUGCCACGGGGCCCUGAUCUCAGUCACUAAUAAUUAAUUAUUAACUUGUAGGGCUGUCAAUUAAUCACAGUAAACACCUGCCAUGAAUUGAAAACAAAAAUUAACAUUAUUUUUUAAUGCAUUAGUUGCACACAUGUGGGUAGGGAGGGAGGCAUCGGUGGCAGGGUGUAGGGAUCGGUCCUGGCUGGCAG
rnacentral:lncRNA from 1 species